rnacentral:tRNA from 1 species
GCCCACGUGGCGGAAUUGGCAGACGCGCUAGAUUCAGGUUCUAGUCUCAGCAAUGAGGUGCAGGUUCAACUCCUGCCGUGGGCACCA